UACAGAGGUCUCAAGCGUUUGUUCGGAUUCAUUGGGCGUAAAGGGUGCGUAGGCGGCGCGGUAAGUCGGGGUGUGAAAUCUCGGAGCUUAACUCCGAAACUGCAUUCGAUACUGCCGUGCUUGAGGACUGGAGAGGAGACUGGAAUUUACGGUGUAGCGGUGAAAUGCGUAGAUAUCGUAAGGAAGACCAGUGGCGAAGGC
rnacentral:rRNA from 1 species